GCUCCAAAGCGUAUAUUAAAGUUGUUGCAGUUAAAAAGCUCGUAGUUGAACUUUGGUCUCGGCUGGCCGGUCCGCCUCACCGCGUGUACUGGUCUGGCUGGGACUUUCCUCUUGGGGAACCGCAUGCCCUUUACUGGGUGUGUUGGGAAACCAGGACUUUUACUUUGAAAAAAUUAGAGUGUUCAAAGCAGGCAAUUGCUCGGAUACAUUAGCAUGGAAUAAUAAAAUAGGACGUGUGGUUCUAUUUUGUUGGUUUCUAGGACCGCCGUAAUGAUUAAUAGGGAUAGUUGGGGGCAUCAGUAUUCAAUUGUCAGAGGUGAAAUUCUUGGAUUUAUUGAAGACUAACUACUGCGAAAGCAUUUGCCAAAGAUGUUUUCAUUAAUCAGGAACGAAAGUUAGGGGAUCGAAGACGAUCAGAUACCGUCGUAGUCUUAACCGUAAACUAUGCCGACUAGGGAUCGGGUGGUGUUUCUAUUAUGACUCACUCGGCACCUUACGAGAAAUCAAAGUUUUUGGGUUCU
rnacentral:rRNA from 1 species